GAAGCACGCCAGACUGCCGCUGGUGCAAUCACCGAAAGGUGGCACUGGAGGAACGUCCGGACUGCACAGGACAGCGUAGCAGCUAACGGCUGCCCACCGUGAGGUGAGGAUCAGAGCAACAGAGACGAGUCGGUGCGACUCGCCGUACCAUUUGUGGGUGUUCUAUGGCACCCGGCGCAAGCCGGAAACCGCGUGGCGCAAGCCAGGCGGUGCGGACGAUAGUCCGUAGUGACAUAGCCGCCCGGUGCGGCAAGGCCGCGCCGGGUGAAACGGGCAAUCUCUACGCGCAGCAAUACCAAGUAGGCCAGCGUUGAUGUGGUUCCGCAGAGUUGGCGGGUAGGUAGCAUCGAGCCGUGGUGGCGACACCCGGCCCAGAUUAAUGGCGGUCACGUUGCGGGCAACCGCAAUGCACAGAAUCCGGCUUAUCGGCGGGCUUCACAC
rnacentral:RNase_P_RNA from 1 species